GAUGAACGCUGGCGGCGUGCCUAAUACAUGCAAGUCGAGCGAACGGACGAGAAGCUUGCUUCUCUGCUGUUAGCGGCGGACGGGUGAGUAACACGUGGAUAACCUACCUAUAAGACUGGGAUAACUUCGGGAAACCGGAGCUAAUACCGGAUAAUAUUUUGAACCGCAUGGUUCAAAAGUGAAAGACGGUCUUGCUGUCACUUAUAGAUGGAUCCGCGCUGCAUUAGCUACUUGGUAAGGUAACGGCUUACCAAGGCAACGAUGCAUAGCCGACCUGAGAGGGUGAUCAGCCACACUGGAACUGAGACACGGUCCAGACUCCUACGGGAGGCAGCAGUAGGGAAUCUUCCGCAAUGGGCGAAAGCCUGACGGAGCAACGCCGCGUGAGUGAAGAAGGUCUUCGGAUCGUAAAACUCUGUUAUUAGGGAAGAACAUAUGUGUAAGUAACUGUGCACGUCUUGACGGUACCUAAUCAGAAAGCCACGGCUAACUACGUG
rnacentral:rRNA from 1 species